UUUCCUGCCCUCGAGGAGCUCACAGUCUAGUAUGUCCCAGCCCUACUAGACUGAGGCUCCUUGAGGGCAGGGAUCGUCAUACUCGCCUC
ensembl:miRNA MIR151A microRNA 151a